rnacentral:misc_RNA from 1 species
GGGUUUUGAGCUUCUAGGGUUUUAACAUCUGGGAGUUUAACAUCAAGCGUUUCUGGAGUUUUAUGGUUUUCCAUUAUCUAGAAUGUUGAAAAAGGUCUGCCCUUUUUCUCCAGUCUACCAAUCUCAAUAUUACUCCAACAGCUGGAAACAAAACAAUGAAAUUUACAUUGUGACCGAGUUUCAAGACUAGCUACGAUCUGACCCAGUCGAGUUGAAGAAGAAGUAGUUUUGAAUCUUGUGGUGCAGAAAAAGAGAUUAUUUAGGAUGGCCGAAAGAAAGAAAAAAAGAGAACUAAUGGGCUCUUAGAAAAAGCUGAGAAAGUAUUUGGGCGAGGAACACGGUAGAGAGAGAGAGAGAGAGAGCAA